rnacentral:rRNA from 1 species
AGCGAACGCUGGCGGCAGGCCUAACACAUGCAAGUCGAACGAACCUUUCGGGGUUAGUGGCGGACGGGUGAGUAACACGUGGGAACGUGCCUUUAGGUUCGGUAUAACUCAGGGAAACUUGUGCUAAUACCGAAUGUGCCCUUCGGGGGAAAGAUUUAUCGCCUUUAGAGCGGCCCGCGUCUGAUUAGCUAGUUGGUUGAGGUAAUGGCUCACCAAGGCGACGAUCAGUAGCUGGUCUGAGAGGAUGAUCAGCCACAUUGGGACUGAGACACGGCCCAAACUCCUACGGGAGGCAGCAGUGGGGAAUCUUGCGCAAUGGGCGAAAGCCUGACGCAGCCAUGCCGCGUGAAUGAUGAAGGUCUUAGGAUUGUAAAAUUCUUUCACCGGGGACGAUAAUGACGGUACCCGGAGAAGAAGCCCCGGCUAACUUCGUG